CCAACAACGCGUAUCUUCAUCCUCACUUCUGACUGCACAUAUAGACUGAGACAAAAGGAGAAAGAUGUGAGAUAAAGGAGACGGCGACAACGAUUUUGGUUACAAAGCGAUGGCUUCUGUAAAAAAAGGUUCAGUGGUUAGCGGCGGCGGCGGUUAGGGUUCCGCCAUGAAACAUGGUAUUGGCAGUGUUUUCUUCAUCAGAAUCGCUAUCGGGUGGGCUAAGUUCUAGGGUUUCGGCCGCCGUUCAGUUGAAGGUAAUAACAAUUAAGAAGGCAAUGAUGGAGGUUCUAGUUACAGGUAUGGCGGUGACUUCAGAAACAAACUCCGGUGACUUAACUAGGGUUCCAGCAAGAUUACGUCGCCUUUUUACACUGUAAGUUUGGUUUUCUUGAAGGUUCAAGGACCGAUGAUGAUGGUAUCACACACCACCCGUCCAAAACCCACUGCCCUGCCCCUUCUCCAUUGACCAUCGCAGGUGUGAAGGAGUGGGUCUAGAGAGAGCGAAACAGAUCGGAGAAGAUAUGAGAGACAAAGACGGAGUAGGGUUCUCCGGCGUCGACAACGGUGAAGAGGCAUCCCCUGGCCUGAGGCAAUCUGGUGUUAUCAACAGGUUAUGCAUUCGAUUCUGAUUUGUUGACCCUUUUUUCCCGGCCAUACAUUAAUUAAUUAGUUGAUUCCACAUUCCCUAGGUUUUAAAAAAGAGAUAAUGAUUGAUUUAAGGUGUUUAAUUUGUGAAACUGGUAUGCAUUUUGUUAUUUUAUUUCAAUACAUCUCAAACCUUCUUUCAAAAUAAAUUAUAUAGAUUUAAAUUUGAACACAAUGGGUUAAUUUUGGGUACAUUUGUUGCAGAACAUUGGCAGUUAGAAUCACAUAUUUGUUUAGAAUAUUAGUUGUUUAAGUGGUUGUAGUCAAUUGGAAAACACACGUCUAAACGCCCCUUAAUCAGUCCCCUAUAUUGUGGUUAGUCUUUAUGAUUGUAGGCCAACAAUGAAGAUGUUUUAAAUCCCAAUCGAAAUGUUGAUGAGCUCCGAUGGAACCAGAAAGAACUAAUGGAAUGGCAGGUCAAUCUACCUGCUGGAUUCAAACACGAAGUCAUUAAUAAUCUCCAAAGGAUUUCGUGAAGGCUAUGGUGAUGCAUUUUAGCUCUUUUGUAUGAGCUUGAGCAAGGAUAAGAUUUCAGUGUGCCUUGGUUACAAAGCUGAGAAGGUCAUGUAAUUGACUAUGCUAUCACACGGCAACUGGUUUGUGUACAACCAUGAUACGUUUGCUUUACUUCUUUGAUUAAUUAUCUAUCUGAGCAUAAUCAUUGUCUUUGGCCAGCUCCUAAAAUCCUAAUCACUUAUUUUCACUAUUUCAGUUACAAGGGGCUAUGACGGUUAAUGGUUCUUACAUAGCUAUGUUGUCUUUAUCCUUUUGAUCUUACCAAUUUGAGCCUCAUCAUAUGACUUAUUGUUUUCACCAUUAUCAUUUUCCUUUUCAUGACUUAGAAAAUUCUAUUGACUCAUGUUUCCUUUUCUUUCUAUAUCCGUUUUUUAUUCAAAUUGGUCGACAAGAUUUAUACACCUAAUUGUUGCUUGCUUGAUUUACAUAACUGUUUUAAUUAUUUUCCCCUAUUGUCAGGUAGUAGUAUUGCAAUGCUUGCUGGUAGUAGGAAAGUGUGCUCAUAAGAUCUUACACUCAUGUAAAGGAAACAAUGAGAAAAGGGCCAAAGGAGUUAUUGAUGAAAUAUGUGACAACAUUUUAAGACUGUAAAACUUUACAUUUCGUUUUUUGAACCAAACUCGCACAAUGCAUCACCAUCAUAUUAUUAUAUUUUACUAAUUCCAUUACUUAAGUGGUGGUGUUUUUCAUUCCUUAUGGUUUCCUGUGUACCAAGUGAAAUUCUUUGUUACUUUCAAAGUCA